rnacentral:lncRNA from 1 species
AUAAUAUAUGUAAGUUAUAUUUUAAAUAUAUUGGAAGCUAGAAGCUAUAAGAUAAGUUGGAAAACGAAAGCUACAUUACAACCUCUUGCUUCAUAAAUAUCAGAAUCAAAAGCUACAUCUGUCUAUAAACCAAAUUAAAGAUUAAUUACAUCUGCCUUACAAGUACAAAAUUUGGCAGAAAUUAUUAACAUAACAUUUUUGUAAGGGAAUUCAUCUUCAUUCGCAAGUUAUUACUUUCAAUCCCGAAUACAAUGUGCACUAUUUCAACAUUGAUGCUGCUGCUGCUGAUAUGUUUCCCUUUAUUUGCUCAUUGUCACCACACCAUCUACCAAACAAGUAAUAAAUCAUUUAAUGGAAUUCAACCACAAUUUCAAAUUAAAUUAAUAACUAAGAAUAGGAAUCCCUACUACAGCAUCAUAACAAAUUGUAUCUGUACAGCAUCAUACCAUAUUGUAUCUCUACCGUAUCAGAGUACAGCAUCAUAAAUGAUCUGUCCUCAAUACUUUUGACACAUACCCUAUAGCCCCAUAACUGUUGGUUUCUCCAAACUUCACCAAAGGAAGACUCGUGCAGAUGUCGCAAUACCUGCAUUCAUUCAAGGAGAAAAGGUACUUAUCAAUAAUUGAUGUCAUGUUAUAAUAUAGAACAAUUCUAUGCUAUAAAAAUUAAUUUAGUAUUGCAAGACAAUGUUUUGAACGCCCCUUCCUAGCACAUGCUUCAAAACCUGCACAAGUUACAGUAACCUCAGACCGACAACCGUUUAAUCAAGAAAGAAAAGAUAUCAGAAAAUGAAUAAGAAAAAUGAAAAUGUGAACUAGAUCAUCUCCCUUGAGCCUGCAACAGAAAUAGGAAAGAGUCAAACAGCAAACCCAAAAUCAAUUCACCAGAUGGCAUACCAACAAUUUUGUUCAUAUGACAAACUAGAGAGAACCUCAGCUUACAGAAGUCAAGGUUAUUGAUGUGGCUCUAAGGACCAAAUAAAUGUGCUGUUCAUACAAAAUUAAGGAGUACAAGCUUAUGAUAGUGGCAAUAGCAAUGAAUACAUUAAUGGGGCUGCUUUGUGAUUACAGAUACACUAGAAACUUGAUGGUUAGCUAAUAAAGGGUUACGGUUAAAUACAUUUCUCAUGUAUGCAUCCAUCAAUGGACUGAAUAAAAUUCAAGCAAUGAAAGGCCAGAAUACAUUCUGUAGUCGGCUAUGACAGUCAGCUUCUCACUAGGUUUAGAAGAAAACUGAUGUCAAUUCAAGUGUCAUAAGUGUGUUGCGCGUAGAAAGACCCUGCUCAAAUCCCCAUUCAACAGUCAUGCUACUUUUAAGGCUACAUUACAUUAAUACUAGAAAUAUAAGGAUUUCUUCCUACAGCAGAUGGGGACACAUUAUGUCCACCAAUAAAUAAUCCAUAAUUGUUCAAGUUCUGUUAUCGAUACUCAUCCGAUAGACAAAAGUAAAAAAACUUCAAAUGGACAUGAAAAAUUAUAAGAGUCUUUUUCAGUUAUAUAAUACAUAUCUAAUUCAUAUCCAUGCCAUCUCCAACUUGGCUGCAGAUAGGACUGACAGCAGUGAAAGAUCUCUCAAAAGGAGAAGGAUGGAAUUGUGCAUCACGUCUCCGCUUAAAACCGCAGCUAUCAGAGGGCGAAUUCUCUGCAUCAA